GAACAAGUAGAAGAAGUCGAAGAAGAAGACGGCGACGUGUUGUCUUGCAUUUAGCGAACCGCUGCUCUUCUCAACGAAGGAGACACAAAGGAGUUGCAAAGCGCCGUUCUUGCUACACUUCGAGUCAAAAUGUUGAAAGAUUUGGUGAGGGAGCGACUCAUUGCGGCCGCCGACGAAAUCUUCGGGCUGUUUGAAGGAACGAUAGCGUCGUACGAGGAGCAACUUCGUCGAGCGAGGGAGGAAACCGAGCGACAACGACGACAACUGGAAGCUGUUUGCAAGACUCAAAUUGUCAUACGCAUGGAAGACGUGCAACAGGUGAUUGGCCGUCAUGUAGAAUUUAGCCCUCAGUUGCAGUGGGGGAGCUCCAGUUUGGAGCCGCAAGAUCCACAGCCCUCCUAUGUUAAAGAGGAAAAUCUACAACCCCUCCAUGUUAAAGAGGAAAAGGAGGAUCCACAGCCCAACCAUGUUGAAGAGGAAGUGGAGGAGGUAAGUGUCAUAAAAAUAGCGCUGAAUGGUACCUCUCUGGAGAGGGAAAACGAGAUACCUGAGCUUCAUAAUCACAGUCCAAGUGGAGACCACUGUGGAGGACCACCACCGGACAACCUUUUAGCUCCACUGUCAGACAGUGACGACAUAGAAGAACCUUCGAGGAGCGACGCAGACUGCGAAGGUGACGACAAGCAGUCGACAUGCUCUGAAAAGGAGACAACGCUUAACAAGAAAACUCCUCGGAUACACAGGAGUCGUCAUGCUCCCAAAGAAAGUUUCAGCUGCUCAACUUGUGGAAAAACAUUCAAUACCAAGAAGAUAUUGAGAAAACACACUAGAACGCACAAAGGGAAAAAAAACUUUUGUUGCUCUGUGUGUGGUAAAGCGUUCCCUCAAAAAGCAAAUGUGGUAUCACACAUGAAAACGCACGCGGGAGACAAACCUUUCAGUUGUCCAAUUUGCAAUAAAACGUUCACUCAUAAGCAACAUAAGGUCACACACAUGAGAACACAUGCAGGAGAAAAAUCCUUCUCUUGCUCAACUUGUGGUAAAGCUUUCUCUCAAAAUAGCCAUCUGGUUUCACACGUGAAAACACACGCAGGAGAAGGAACGUACAGUUGCUCAUUGUGUGAUAGAACAUUCUCUCAAAAGGCGUCCAUGGUCAGACACAUGAAAACACACGCAGGAAAGAAACGUUUGUAGUUGCUCGAGUGGCUGUAAAACCUGUCAAAGGUGUUCUCUGGUAUUAAACAUGAGUGCGCACACAAGAAAAAACCAUCAUGUCCAUAGGUCCAAUUUGAUUGUACAUGUCCGGGGACACAACAAAAGGACAAAAACGCCUUUGCAGUAGUUCCCCACAAUACUGCGGCAAGCAGACCAUGAAUUGUUUUUAUUGAAUUUUAUUUUGAGCUGUAAAUACUGAUAAUCGGCUUGUUUUUUGUGGAGAUCGUUUUCACCAAGGAAUCCUUGGGACUAAAAUUUCAUAUUGAAGCAAAUUAAAAAAAAAAAAAAUGUGUGAUAAGACAUUGAAAACCUUGAACAUUUUUUUUUAGUUUUUUAUAUAUAUAUAUUUAACUACGAAUCAGUACAGGCCUUUUGGUUGGAUAUGCAGGGCUGGCUUCAGUCUAAACAUCUUGAACUGUCACCUUGGAUGAUGGAGUCCAUUAAGUUUGGUGAAGACAAGAAUUUAGAUGUUAAUAAUGUGCUGUUAUUUUAAAGUUUUUUAUUGUUAUUCACAACUGUAGAUAUUUCAAGACAAAAACCUGUCUAAACCAUUGGUUGAAUGAGUUUUUACUUGUAUUUGAAGUUUGUAAAGAUUUAAGAAAAGGCUUUGAACUUCUUUCACUGCUUCAUAAGACUUCAUUUUCUAAAGCCCUCUUGUGUAUGUGAGUAGGUUUUUCUGUUGUCUACUGUAAAGCUCACCACACGGCUUUUGGUGUGCAGAUUGAGUGAAACAAAAUGGGAAAUUUUGUUGUAUUUGUUCUUUUAAAAAAAAAAUAAAAGAUAUUUGGGUCCACACUCCUUGCCAGUAGGUGGCAGAAAUCCGCCAUUUUGUUGUUUGCCACCCGCCAUUUAGUGAUUGAGGAGGGGAAAAAAGACAACGACAAAGGUUUCAACGUGACCGGCGUCGAGAACAUCGAUUGUACCUCAAGUGUAGUCCCUGUGGUUGUUGAGCAGUUGAGAAGAAUGUUGAAGGACUUAGUAAGAGAGCGACUGAAGGCGGCCGCCGACGAAAUCUUCGCACUGUUUGAAGGAACGAUAGCGUCGUACGAAGAGCAACUUAGUCGCGCACGAGGGGAGAGCGAGCGACAACGACGACAAGCAGAAGCCGUUUGCAAGUCUCAAAUUAUCAUACACGUCGAAGACGUCCAAGUGCUGAUUGAUCGUAAGGUUGAACUUCCCUCUCAACAGUGGGGGAGCUCUAGUUUGGAAAAGGACGAUUCACAGGUACUCUGUGUUAAAGACGAAAAUGAGGAUCCACAGCCCCCCCUUGUUGAAGAGGAAGAUGAGGAUCAACAGCCCCCCCUUGUUGAAGAGGAAGAUGAGGAUCAACAGCCCCCCCUUGUUGAAGAGGAAGAUGAGGAUCCACAGCCCCGCCUUGUUGAAGAGGAAGAUGAGGAUCUACAGCCCCGCCUUGUUGAAGAGGAAGAUGAGGAUCCACAGCCCCCCCUUGCUGAAAAGGAGGGUCCACAGCCCCUCCACGUUGAACAGGAAGCGGAGGAGCCACAGCCCUCACACAUUAAGAAGGAAGAGGAGGCUGAUGUCAUCAAGUUUCCGCUAACUGGCGUCUCUGCGAAGGGUGCAGACAACAAAGAAGAACAAGCCAAGUCGUCACAGCUUCAUCACAGCCCAAGUGGAGACCGCUGUUUAGGACCACCACCAGACAACCUCCUAGCUCCACUUAACAAGAAAACUCGUCUUAAAAGAUUUGCUCAGAACGGUCCUAUUAGGAGACACAUGAAAACGCAAACUGAAACUAAACCCCUUCGUUGCUCAGUUUCUGGCAUAUGUUUUAGUACUAGGUCAAGUAUGACGAGACACAGGAGAUCACAUGCAGAAAAACCAUUUUGUUGUCCAACUUGUGGUAAAUGCUUCUCUCAAAAGGAAAAUCUGGAACCACACCUAAGAUUACACGCAGGAGAAAAACCCUACAGUUGCUCAUUUUGUGACAAAAAAUUCAUGCAAAGGUCACUUUGUGAAAGACACACGAGAACCCACACAGGAGAAAAACCUUUCAGUUGUUCAACUUGUGGCAAAACAUUCACUACAAAGGGAAAUAUGAUCUUACACACGAGACUCCACAUACGAAAGCCUUUUAGUUGCUCAAUUUGCAGCAAAACAUGCACUACAAAAGCGACUAUGAUGUUACACAUGAGCAAGCACACAGGAGAAAGACCCUUUAGAUGCACGUUUUGUAGCAGAAAAUGUAUAAGCAAAUCAAAAUUAGAUCGACACAUAAGAAGCCACACAGGGGAAAAACCUUUCAGUUGCUCGAUUUGUAGCAAAACAUUCACUAUAAAAGAAAAUAUGCGCUCACACAUAAGGCGGCACACAAAGGAAAAAACCUUGAGGUGUUCAACUUGCGGUGAAACCUUUACUCAAAGGUCAAAUCUGAAGGCACACACGAGAACGCAUCCAGAAGCAAAACCUUUUGGUUGCUCAAUCUGUAGCAAGAUGUUCACUCGUAAGGGAUCUGUUGUAAGACACAUGAUGAGAAUACAUAGAGACGCAAAAAACGUUUAAUUUUUCAGUUUGUGGUGAAAGCUCUGCUUACGUGGCCAGUUGGCUGCAGCCAUGCAGACCCACAGCACCGAGCGAUCUGUACCUACACUGACUGAUUUGAUUUAGUGUUAAAUAAAUAAAAGGCGAAGAAUUUUAAAAGUGGACCUUGUAUCCUUCUAUUUUUCUGUACGUGGCCUUUGGAAAAGUUCAGACACUCCUGAUAAAGCCAUUGAAACUCUGCAUAUAUACUAACAUGGCGGUUCCAUAGCUUGUGUGUUGUAGGAAGGUUAGAAACGGCGAGACUUAACACACACCGCAUCCUCUAUUGGAAAUAAUAUUUUUUUUUUUAAAAGAAACCAGGGGCCUCUUGACCCUGUAACAUAUUCUGGAACCUAAAAAAUACAUUUCAAAUAUUCCUAUGUCCUUUUGUAAUUAAGGAAAGUUACAUUUUAAAGGGAUACUAAUCUAACUUUAGAAUGAAAAUUAAAAGUUUUUAUUCAUUGUGUGUGUUCAUUAUCAACCAAUGGCAUUGCUAUCUGACGUCAUGUGACAAAUUUGUCCAAUUGUGUCACAGCAUAUCUGGCUUUAGAACUAAAACGUGAUGUUUUGAUUCACGUUUUCAGAUAGCUAUUAUUGUGGCGCAAUUCAAGGGAACCAAGGACAAGUAACAACUCACAGGGGUAAUUAAAACAGAUAUACAUGUCGACAGCGACAUGUUAACGGAGGAGUAGCUCGCCUAGCAGUGGCCACCAGCUAAUAGUUACAGAAAAAUCUCCGACCCCACAGAAUUUCUAACCCCAAUAUAGAAACAACAGAAAAUACCCCCAACAAAAACAAAAGUCAAAAAUCAGUUAUUUUUUUCUAUUUUGGAAUGCCAUUAUCAAAAUAACACAGUUAACAACAUUCAAAGGAAAGCGGUGACUACAAAUAGUUUUCAUUCUCAUUUGGUAAAUCAAUACAUGAAUCACUGCUAAGGCUGCGAACUGCCUGGCAUGGCACAGAUCUGUACAAUAUCCCCCGUCGGAUUGCCAGCACAGUGACUUUGGUACCAUCGGUGGCACUGGACACACUGGAUCUGAAACGAACGCAAUGAAUAAAACAAGGGUAUCAGUUGAAUUUUAAUCUCUAAAACAUGUUUGUGUCUUCCAGUGGCUUAAUGAAUCUGGCAAAGGAUGGUAUUGUGUGGUCAAAAACAACCCGAAGAGUUGUGGCCGUUGUUUGCAUCCUAAAUCGAACAAUCCAGAAACUCCGUAAACUGUUUUGUUCUCUUGAUCGUUUUGUUCUCUUGAAAUUGAAAAAAACACCCGGACUCACCCCUCAUUAUUCUCGGGGACUUUAACAAAGCUAAACUCAACCACGAACUCCCUAAAUACAAGCAGCACAUCGACUGUCCUACCAGGGAAAAUAAUACUUUUAGACCACUGCUACACUACGGUAAAAAACGUUUACCGUGCUAUUCCUCGUGCAGCCCUGGGCUCGUCUGAUCACUGCUUAAUUCACUUAAUACCGACGUACAGGCAAGAACUUAAAUGCGCAAAGCCUACAGUGAAAAAGUGGACAAAUGAAGCCAAGAUGGAACUUCAAAGCUGUUUCGACUGCACAGACUGGAGUGUCUUUGAAAAUUCAGCUGGCAGCCUGGAUGAAUAUACGGACACUGUCACAUCCUAUAUCAGUUUCUGUGAAGAGGUUUGUGUACCAACAAAAUCUUUUCGCACAUUCAACAACAACAAGCCGUGGUUCACUGCUAAACUUAAGCAGUUUCGCCAAGCUAAGGAGGAGGCAUAUCAGAGCGGGGACAGGGCCCUGUAUAAUCGAGCUAGAAACCAGCUGACUAAAGAAAUUAACAUUGCAAAAAGAAACUAUGCAGCAAUGUUGGAAAAACAGUUUAGCGCAAACGACUCUAAAUAAGUCUGGCAUGCAUUCCGAUCGCUGACUAAUUACAAGCGACGAUCCCCCUAAGCUGAGAACAAUAGCACACUAGCCAACGACUUGAAUACCUUCUACUGCAGAUUUGAAAAGGACACUUUCACACCCCACACCCACCCGGCCGCACCCGCGACCACAAUCACACCUCUGACUUCUGCGUUAACCAUUCAUGAACAGGAUGUGAGACGCAUCUUCAAACAACAAAAGAUUAACAAAGCGGCAGGCCCGGACCAUGUGUCCCCAUCCUGCCUCAAAGUCUGCGCGGAGCAGCUCGCUCCAGUCUUCACACAGAUCUUCAAUAGAUCUCUGGAAAUGUGCGAAGUUCCAUUCUGUUUCAAACGUUCCACCAUCAUUCCAGUCCCCAAGAAACCUGCAAUCUCGGGUCUGAAUGACUACAGGCCUGUCGCUUUGACAUCUGUGGUCAUGAAGUCCUUUAAACGUCUCGUGCUGGACCACCUCAAGAGUGUCACAGGUCCCCUGCUGGACCCCCUGCAGUUUGCCUACCAAGCGAACAGGUCUGCGGAUGAUGCAGUCAACAUGGGACUGCACUUCAUCCUAGAACACCUCGACAGUGCAGGGACCUACGCGAGGAUCCUGUUCGUGGACUUCAGCUCAGCGUUCAACACCAUCAUCCCUGAACUCCUUUCAUCCAAGCUUCUCCAGCUCAGCGUCUCACCUGCCAUCUGCCAGUGGAUUUACAGCUUUCUGACGGGCAGGACAC